rnacentral:rRNA from 1 species
UGCUGGAGGUAUCAGAAGUGCGAAUGCUGACAUAAGUAACGAUAAAGCGGGUGAAAAGCCCGCUCGCCGGAAGACCAAGGGUUCCUGUCCAACGUUAAUCGGGGCAGGGUGAGUCGACCCCUAAGGCGAGGCCGAAAGGCGUAGUCGAUGGGAAACGGGUUAAUAUUCCCGUACUUGGUGUUACUGCGAAGGGGGGACGGAGAAGGCUAUGUUGGCCGGGCGACGGUUGUCCCGGUUUAAGCGUGUAGGUGUGUGUUCCAGGUAAAUCCGGUUCACUUUAACACUGAGGCGUGACGACGAGGCACUACGGUGCUGAAGCAACAAAUGCCCUGCUUCCAGGAAAAGCCUCUAAGCAUCAGGUAACAUCAAAUCGUACCCCAAACCGACACAGGUGGUCAGGUAGAGAAUACCAAGGCGCUUGAGAGAACUCGGGUGAAGGAACUAGGCAAAAUGGUGCCGUAACUUCGGGAGAAGGCACGCUGACACGUAGGUGAAGUGAUUUACUCACGGAGCUGAAGUCAGUCGAAGAUACCAGCUGGCUGCAACUGUUUAUUAAAAACACAGCACUGUGCAAACACGAAAGUGGACGUAUACGGUGUGACGCCUGCCCGGUGCCGGAAGGUUAAUUGAUGGGGUCAGCGCAAGCGAAGCUCCUGAUCGAAGCCCCGGUAAACGGCGGCCGUAACUAUAACGGUCCUAAGGUAGCGAAAUUCCUUGUCGGGUAAGUUCCGACCUGCACGAAUGGCGUAAUGAUGGCCAGGCUGUCUCCACCCGAGACUCAGUGAAAUUGAACUCGCUGUGAAGAUGCAGUGUACCCGCGGCAAGACGGAAAGACCCCGUGAACCUUUACUAUAGCUUGACACUGAACAUUGAGCCUUGAUGUGUAGGAUAGGUGGGAGGCUUUGAAGUGUGGACGCCAGUCUGCAUGGAGCCGACCUUGAAAUACCACCCUUUAAUGUUUGAUGUUCUAACGUGGACCCGUAAUCCGGGUUGCGGACAGUGUCUGGUGGGUAGUUUGACUGGGGCGGUCUCCUCCUAAAGAGUAACGGAGGAGCACGAAGGUUGGCUAAUCCUGGUCGGACAUCAGGAGGUUAGUGCAAUGGCAUAAGCCAGCUUGACUGCGAGCGUGACGGCGCGAGCAGGUGCGAAAGCAGGUCAUAGUGAUCCGGUGGUUCUGAAUGGAAGGGCCAUCGCUCAACGGAUAAAAGGUACUCCGGGGAUAACAGGCUGAUACCGCCCAAGAGUUCAUAUCGACGGCGGUGUUUGGCACCUCGAUGUCGGCUCAUCACAUCCUGGGGCUGAAGUAGGUCCCAAGGGUAUGGCUGUUCGCCAUUUAAAGUGGUACGCGAGCUGGGUUUAGAACGUCGUGAGACAGUUCGGUCCCUAUCUGCCGUGGGCGCUGGAGAACUGAGGGGGGCUGCUCCUAGUACGAGAGGACCGGAGUGGACGCAUCACUGGUGUUCGGGUUGUCAUGCCAAUGGCACUGCCCGGUAGCUAAAUGCGGAAGAGAUAAGUGCUGAAAGCAUCUAAGCACGAAACUUGCCCCGAGAUGAGUUCUCCCUGAGACUUAGAGUCUCCUGAAGGAACGUUGAAGACGACGACGUUGAUAGGCCGGGUGUGUAAGCGCAGCGAUGCGUUGAGCUAACCGGUACUAAUGAACCGUGAGGCUUAACCUUACAACGCCGAAG